rnacentral:rRNA from 1 species
CCUACGGGGGGCAGCAGUGAGGAAUAUUGGUCAAUGGCCGGAAGGCUGAACCAGCCAAGCCGCGUGAAGGACGAAGGUGCCAAGCAUUGUAAACUUCUUUUGUCAGGGGACAAAAUCAGGCUCGUGAUCCUGACUGAGUGUACUUUAAGAAAAAGCAUCGGCAAACUCCGUACCAGCCGCCGCGGUAAUACGGAGGAUGCGAUGGUUAUCCGGAUUUAUUGGGUUUAAAGGGUGCGUAGGCGGACUGUUAAGUCAGCGGUAAAAGCCCGGGGCUAAACCCCGGCGAGCCGUUGAAACUGGCUGUCUUGAGAUGUCGAGAGGUAAGCGGAAUGCGAGGUGUAGCGGUGAAAUGCUUAGAUAUUGCGCAGAACUCCGGUUGCGAAGGCAGCAUACCGGCGGAGAUCUGACGCUGAGGCACGAAAGCGUGGGUAUCGAACAGGAUUAGAUACCCGGGUAGUC